rnacentral:ncRNA from 2 species
UAAUUUACGGAAGCUAAGAUAUGAAUUCCUUACCUGGGCACUUGGAAUUCAUGGAGCUAGUAGUGCAACCGGCCGAUUAAUUA